GGUUACACGCCAUCCGGUCCAAAAUAUGGCGCAUAGGAGAGAACAACUCGUUUCCAGCGGAUAGAUCAUCGAGCCAUCCAGAUCAUUGGAGAAACUUCUGAAGCAAAAGCCCAGCAUGUUGGGACAAGGUAGCAGUAGAGUAUCGCUAUUGAAAACUAAAAUAGAUGUUACAUAUCCUUUAUCGUUUUAUGACAGUGCUUGUCAGUCGCAGAUAUAGAUAUUCCAGCCUUGCCGGCUUAUGUUUGAGCGUAUUGGCGCAACUUAUGCGCACUUAUAGCUUGAAGAAAGUAAAUUUGGUGCAAUUAUCCCAACUUAUGUUCAUUUGAUAGCUUGAAGAAAGUAAAUUUGCUGCAAUUGAAAUUAAUUGUUGUGAUAUAGUGUGUCUCUCUCCUCACACUAUACCACAACUAUCGCGUAUAGAGCUCCCACCUCCAUAUAGACUUACGCGACCUCCCCUUCUUAUUUCAAGUAGGUUGUGUUCUAUAGGAAAGGACGAAGAGUAGUUUUUCAUGCGCAAUUUCGCCUUGUGUUUUUUUAAAAAAAUUUCUAUAUGGAAGUUGUAAAAAACUUAUUGAUAUAUUGUUUCAGUUCACAAUCCUCACAAAUAAUGCAGUAAGCACUUAUUAAAGCAGUUUAUAAUUUCAAUCCAAUUUCUAGCAAAAGGAUCAUUGAUUUUAUACUUAUCACGAGAAGUUCACUGAAAUUACAUUCUUAGGAGAAGCAGCGUAUACACACGGAUAAAACACGGAGAAAAUCUUUACGAGAGAUGGUUGGUGUUUGGGAGGCAAGAACGGCCGGCGGCGGGGCGGCCAUU
rnacentral:lncRNA from 1 species